rnacentral:rRNA from 1 species
UACGUAGGGUGCGAGCGUUGUCCGGAAUUAUUGGGCGUAAAGGGCUCGUAGGCGGUUUGUCGCGUCGGGAGUGAAAACCUCGGGCUUAACUCGGGGCUUGCUUUCGAUACGGGCAGACUAGAGGUAGGCAGGGGAGAGCGGAACUCCUGGUGUAGCGGUGGAAUGCGCAGAUAUCAGGAAGAACACCGGUGGCGAAGGCGGUGUUCUGGGCCUGUACUGACGCUGAUGCGCGAAAGCGUGGGGAGCGAACAGG